rnacentral:rRNA from 1 species
AUAACCUGCCUCAUACAGGGGGAUAACAGUUAGAAAUGACUGCUAAUACCGCAUAAGCGCACAGAGAUGCAUGUCUCGGUGUGAAAAGCUGAGGCGGUAUGAGAUGGAUCCGCGUCUGAUUAGCUAGUUGGCGGGGUAGAGGCCCACCAAGGCGACGAUCAGUAGCCGACCUGAGAGGGUGGCCGGCCACAUUGGGACUGAGACACGGCCCAAACUCCUACGGAAGGCAGCAG